AGUGAACGCUGGCGGCGUGCCUAAUACAUGCAAGUCGAACGGAGUGGCGCACGGGUGGGUAAUUUAUAGGUAAUCUGCCCGACCCUAGAGGGCAACAGAUGGAAAGGGAUGAUAGUACUUUAUAGUGUAGGAUGAGGCUAUAUAGUAUCAGCUAGGUGGUGAGGUAAUGGCUCACCAAGGCUAGGACGCAUAACUGGUCUGAGAGGAUGAUCAGUCACACUUGAACUGAGAAACGGUCCAGACUCCUACGGGAUGCAGGAGUAGGGAAUAUUGCUCCAUGGGGGAAACGAUGAAGCAGCAACGCCGCGUGGGGGAUGACAAUUUUCAGGGCGUAAACUCUUUUUUUUAGUGAAGCGGUACCUAACGAAUAAGCACCGGCUAACUCCGUGCCAGCCGCCGCGGUAAUAC
rnacentral:rRNA from 1 species